CGGAUGAACGCUAGCGGCAGGCCUAAUACAUGCAAGUCGGACGGGGAUUGAGGAGCUUGCUCCUCAUGAGAGUGGCGCACGGGUGCGUAACACGUAUGUAACCUACCUUCAUCAGGGGGAUAGCCUCUCGAAAGAGAGAUUAACACCGCAUAAAAUCACAGAGCAGCAUUGCUUAAUGAUCAAAUAUUUAUAGGAUGAAGAUGGGCAUGCGGGACAUUAGCUAGUUGGCGGGGUAACGGCCCACCAAGGCGACGAUGUCUAGGGGAUCUGAGAGGAUGACCCCCCACACUGGUACUGAGACACGGACCAGACUCCUACGGGAGGCAGCAGUAAGGAAUAUUGGUCAAUGGAGGCAACUCUGAACCAGCCAUGCCGCGUGCAGGAAGACGGCCCUAUGGGUUGUAAACUGCUUUUGUACCGGAAUAAACCUUGAUAUGUAUAUCAAGCUGAAUGUACGGUAAGAAUAAGGAUCGGCUAACUCCGUG
rnacentral:rRNA from 1 species